ensembl:snRNA U4 U4 spliceosomal RNA
AGCUUUGCGUGGUGGCAGUAUUGUAGCCUGUGAUAUUUGUCAGAGGCACAAUUAUUGCUAGUCUAACUGGUCUUCCACUUCACUCACGGUCCUAGAGUCAUUUAUAUGUAUGUAUGGAUGGCAAGUGAUGACGUAAAUUUAUUU